rnacentral:misc_RNA from 1 species
GAACAGAUGCAUUCUCAGUCCCCAUCAUGUGAGCAAUUUUAUGUCAUUAUUUUAUGACAUGAAACUACUUACUACUAAUUUUAUAGAUUCUGAUGAAGCUAUGCAUAGGUUUGUCAGCAGUGCUUAUGUCAUGCAUCUAAUAGACAUUUUUGUUAGUGAACAUGCUUCUCUGUUUAAACUUGAGAUUAUAGUUCAAUUAUCUUUUGUGAUAUUUUUGUACUUGUGAUUUUAUAUUGCACUCUUUCAAAUAUGUUAAGAUGGUUUAUUAGUGCUUAUUGAUUGAACUUUCUAGAACCCUCUCAUUUAAUUUAAUUUAAUUUUUUUUGCAUUUUUUUAUAAUUAGCUUCAAUUGACAAAAUUUUGCUCAAAUAACCUAAAAUAGAAGACCUUAUGCUUACAUAGCCAGGAAAAUGUGGAAAAGAAAAUUAAAAUGCUACACAAGAUAUAGCCAAACCUUUGAACUCCCAGAUCAACAUAGCAUAAUCUUUACAUUUAUUUACUCAGCAACCAAACAUAUCGAGGUGGCAAGAAAAUGAAAGAAAAAGAAAGAAAAGCUUACAGAUUUUGUCUCCGACCCUGAAU